GAUGAACGCUGGCGGCGUGCCUAAUACAUGCAAGUCGAGCGAACGGACGAGAAGCUUGCUUUUCUGAUGUUAGCGGCGGACGGGUGAGUAACACGUGGAUAACCUACCUAUAAGACUGGGAUAACUUCGGGAAACCGGAGCUAAUACCGGAUAAUAUUUUGAACCGCAUGGUUCAAAAGUGAAAGACGGUCUUGCUGUCACUUAUAGAUGGAUCCGGGCUGCAUUAGCUAGUUGGUAAGGUAACGGCUUACCAAGGCAACGAUGCAUAGCCGACCUGAGAGGGUGAUCGGCCACACGGGAACUGAGACACGGACAAUACUCCUACGGUAGGCAGCAGUAGGGAAUCUUCCGCAAUGGGCGAAAGCCUGACGGAGCAACGCCGCGUGAGUGAUGAAGGUCUUCGGAUCGUAAAACUCUGUUAUUAGGGAAGAACAUAUGUGUAAGUAACUGUGCACAUCUUGACGGUACCUAAUCAGAAAGCCACGGCUAACUACGUG
rnacentral:rRNA from 1 species